rnacentral:siRNA from 1 species
UCACGAAGAGGUAAAGUGGAUUGA